UUUAAGAGUUUGAUCCUGGCUCAGGAUGAACGCUAGCGGCAGGCCUAACACAUGCAA
rnacentral:rRNA from 1 species